AACACCGUUGCCGGAAUUUUGGGCGUAAAGGGUGCGUAGGCGGCCGAUCAAGUCAGGUGUGAAAGACCCGUGCUUAACAUGGGGGUUGCACUUGAAACUGGUUGGCUUGAGUAUGGGAGAGGCAAGCGGAAUUCCCGGUGUAGCGGUGAAAUGCGUAGAGAUCGGGAGGAACACCAGUGGCGAAGGCGGCUUGCUGGACCAAAACUGACGCUGAGGCACGAAAGCGUGGGUAGCAAACAGGAUUAGAUACCCUGGUAGUCCACGCCGUAAACGAUGGAUACUAGGUGUAGGGGGUUUAACACCUUCUGUGCCGGAGCAAACGCAAUAAGUAUCCCGCCUGGGGAGUACGAUCGCAAGAUUGAAACUCAAAGGAAUUGACGGGGGCCCGCACAAGCAGCGGAGCAUGUGGUUUAAUUCGAAGCAACGCGAAGAACCUUACCAAGGCUUGACAUCCCCUGACAGACAUAGAAAUAUGUUAUCUCUUCGGAGCAGGGAGACAGGUGGUGCAUGGUUGUCGUCAGCUCGUGUCGUGAGAUGUUGGGUUAAGUCCCGCAACGAGCGCAACCCCUACAUUUAGUUACCAGCGGGUAAAGCCGGGGACUCUAGAUGGACUGCCGGGGACAACUCGGAGGAAGGUGGGGACGACGUCAAAUCAUCAUGCCCCUUAUGUCUUGGGCUACACACGUGCUACAAUGGCCGUUACAAAGGGAAGCGAGUGCGUAAGCAGGAGCGGAACCCAUAAAAGCGGUCCCAGUUCGGAUUGUGGGCUGCAACCCGCCCACAUGAAGUCGGAGUUGCUAGUAAUCGCGAAUCAGCAUGUCGCGGUGAAUGCGUUCCCGGGCCUUGUACACACCGCCCGUCACACCACGGAAGUUGGGAGCACCCGAAGCCGGUGGCUUAACCGCAAGGAGAGAGCCGUCGAAGGUGAGAUCAAUGACUGGGGUGAAGUCGUAACAAGGUAGCCG
rnacentral:rRNA from 1 species